rfam:Cricetulus griseus cell line CHO-K1, whole genome shotgun sequence.
UUGAGGCAAAGUUCUGAGACACUUCGACUCUGAGUAUGAUAGAAGUCAGUGCACUACAGAACUUUGUCUCUAG